rnacentral:rRNA from 1 species
UACGUAGGGUGCGAGCGUUGUCAGGAUUUACUGGGCGUAAAGGGGAGCGUAGGCGGACUUUUAAGUGAGAUGUGAAAUACCCGGGCUCAACUUGGGUGCUGCAUUUCAAACUGGAAGUCUAGAGUGCAGGAGAGGAGAAUGGAAUUCCUAGUGUAGCGGUGAAAUGCGUAGAGAUUAGGAAGAACACCAGUGGCGAAGGCGAUUCUCUGGACUGUAACUGACGCUGAGGCUCGAAAGCGUGGGAUAGCAA